AAUGAACGCUGGCGGCAUGCCUUACACAUGCAAGUCGAACGGCAGCAUGACCUAGCUUGCUAGGUUGAUGGCGAGUGGCGAACGGGUGAGUAAUGCAUCGGAACGUGCCUUUUAGUGGGGAUAACGUAGCGAAAGUUACGCUAAUACCGCAUAUUCUCUGAGGAGGAAAGCAGGGGACCUUCGGGCCUUGCGCUAGAAGAGCGGCCGAUGUCGGAUUAGCUAGUUGGUGAGGUAAAGGCUCACCAAGGCAACGAUCCGUAGCGGGUCUGAGAGGAUGAUCCGCCACACUGGGACUGAGACAAGGCCCAGACUCCUACGGGAGGCAGCAGUGGGGAAUUUUGGACAAUGGGCGCAAGCCUGAUCCAGCCAUGCCGCGUGAGUGAAGAAGGCCUUCGGGUUGUAAAGCUCUUUCGGCUGGGAAGAAAUCGCACCCUCUAAUACAGGGUGUGGAUGACGGUACCAGCAUAAGAAGCACCGGCUAACUACGUG
rnacentral:rRNA from 1 species